UUCUUGUCUCUCUCAUUUGACUCACUCAUACAGGGGCAAAAUGGUAACUUGAAUACUAGAUAUUUAUUUCCAAACACACUCCAAGAUUCUAGAACGAUCUGCCAUGUGAACCCAGCACCAAAACUCCGGCAAUAGCUAUCUGAAAUCAAACCAUCGCCUCCUCUGUUUCCCACCGAAGCUCUAUCAGAAAAACCCAGCAACUAAUUCAUCCACCACUGACCACCGUCCACCGAAUCACCACCCAGUAAUCACCCAUCUCAAUCAUAUCUUUGAAACGGAGCUUCUUCCAUUAAUUUUGCCUUUUGCUUGUAAUACUAAUAUUUGUGGGUUGCAACUGGAUUCCACCUUUUCACACUCCUCCCCGACUUGCCCAUUGAUCCUUCUUCUUUUGUUGGCCUCUGUUCUUAUCUUCUUUUUCAAUUUUGUAUCUUUGUUCGCUCUAUGUUUAGGCUCGCCUUCUUAUGAUCACAUCUGUGUUUCCGCCCUCUCACCACCUGCUUUCGGAAAGCAUUUGUUUUAUUCCCAUGUUCCUAUUGGAUUUACCGAUUGCUGCGGCUUGUAUUUGUUGGUUGUUGCCACUUAUGCUACACAAGAAAAAGUAGUUCCAAAGAUGAGACAAAGCCCAAAGGAGCAGAAGAGGCUUCAUAUAGCAAAAACGAAGUGUCGGAUAAUUGAUAUGUAUUUCUACUGCAGGCAAGGAAAAUUAUUGUCAGCCUACUAAAGACACUCAUAAAGGAGAGGAGCUUUCAAGCAAACUCAACACAAUAUGCUUGGUUACCUGAUGAAUGAAGAAGCAAAUAGGUACAAAUUAACAAAUGAUGAGAUGAUUGAUUUAAUCAUAACCAUUUUGUACUGUUUCCACUACUUCUGUGAUGGCUGUCGAAUAUCUUCAUGAUCAUCCAAAAGUUCUUGAAGAACAAAGAAAAGAACACAUGGCAAUUAGAGAAAAGAAAAAGCACGAGGAUCCUAUUGAUUACAACGAUUACAAGGCGAUGCGGUUCACACAGACCUCCAGGUAAGCAACACUAGUGAAUGGGGUUCUGAUAAAAACCACUCAAGAUUUUGAAAUAAAUGGUGUUGAUGUGUAUUUGAGCUAAGAAAGGCACUUAUUUUAACCUUCCAAAGGUUCAGAAAGCCGCCACUCAUGCAUAUAGCCAACUGCCUUAUAACCAUCUGGAUGUUCAGAAAGCCACCACUCAUGCAUAUAGCCAACUUGCUUAUAGCUGGAUGAUGUGCAGCAUGUUAUAACUGAUGAAUUGUUACUUCUGUGGCAGUGUUCUGAAUUACUGUGAUGCAGAUAGGAAGAUUCAUAUUCUUGCAUUACUAGAACGACUCCAGAACCACAUUCUUAUUUCAAUUUUCAGCUUAAUUAAACCAGUACCAGAGUCAGGAUGCUUCAAGGAAGAAAACAAGGAAAUAGACAGGUCAUUCUAUGAGGAGUGCAACAAAGGAGGUGCACCAACUAAUAAAGAGAAAAGAUAGAGGGAAUUGCAGAUCUCAAAGAGACAAAAACACUUUCUUAUAUGCAGGCAAGCUAAGAUACAUAUAAUGUUGUUGCAAUCUGUUCUUUCCUAAAUUAGCCUAAAAGUGUUUGACUGAUGCUAGGCAUAAAUCACAAAGAGGUGAUUUGCCCUAUUUGAAGCAUAGUCACAUUAUCAGUUACUAUUCAUGGUGGAUCCUUUCAUGAAUGAUCAGUCUUGAAGACGUUUGUGUGUCAGUGAUGGAGGGAGGAGGAGGAGAGGAUAGUGAAAGAUUUAUAUGAAGACGGAAAACCAUUGCAUUCUAUCAAGUAGAUAAAAUAUAUUGGAUGCUUUCUUGAAUGGUUCUCUAAACGCUCCAUUCCCUUCAAACACUACAUGUAUAUACUUUGAAGGAUAAUUUUCUAAAAUACAUUGUGACCAUAUCAUUUAUGUAGUAGAUUCCCGAGUGUGUUUGGUAUAAUAAUGUCAUAGAGAGAUGUACUAUAAUACCAGAAUUGCUACCUUACUUGUUUGCAGAUUGCUGAGAUGAAAUUUAUGAAGGACGAGAAGUGCUAAACAUGAAAGACAGUCUUUGUUUUAAAGCUGUAUUUGAUUAUAGGAUAACUAGGUUAACAUAUUGUACCUAAAUAUCGCUUCGUUGUCCCAUUUUUGCAGCCAUGAAUAAGCUAAUACAACUCUUCAAAGUGGUGAUGUGAUACCAAGAGGCAACAAAAAUUAUUUUGAAAGUUUAGAAAUGUGAUUUAUGGAAACCCUCGAGUGAUGUGAAUUAUACACAGGUCGAUAAGCGUAUUCGUCCAGCAUAGUUACACCAACCAUGAACUGAAUGGAUAGUCUAAAAUCUACUUGAGCAAAUAAUGUGUUGCAUGGUUGUGUUUGUUGGACAGUAAAAUAUAUAAGAUUAGGAGAGGAUUUUCAGUCUUCAAUAUUUUUAGAAUUUUCUUAUUUUAAUUUACUUGAAGUAUUGAAAAAUCAGACAUACUCGCCCUUUUAGGGAUGGAGUAACUGUUUCUUUUCUUACAACAUUUCAGGUCUUCAUAAAUAUGCCUUCAGGAAGGUAAAAGGAAGAGAUCCAAAAGGACUCCGCAAAAUGCACAAUGUUCAACAAAAAUCAAAGAAUACCUGAGUUGUGAAAAUAAUGGAUAAUCCUAAGAACUCUUUAGAGCUCUCAAACUGAAGGAGACUUUGAGAUACUGGAAAAGUUUGUUUUCUCCAUAAUGGUGAUUCUUAUACAGCUUUAUCUGAAGGAUAUGAUAGAAAUUGCUUGCAUUUUAAGGUUUUGAACCUUUUCUGUGCAGAAGAUACGAAUAGGAGUAAGAGUGGAUGAGGUAAAUACAAUCGAAAAUCAUAUUCUAUCCUUCGACUAUGCCUACUGAUCUACCGUAUUUAUCAGUUUUGCUACCCAAAGUGUACCAAUAGCGCGAUGCUUGUGUCAUGUGAAUAUUAGCUUUUGGCAGAUACUGAUUUGAUUUUUCUUGUUUGGGGGAAUUAAAUAUUAAGGGAAUUUAAGAUUUGUUGUUUCAAGGAAAUUACCUGAAAGAAGUUGAAAGAUAUGUACUAAAAUAAUUGUGCAGGUUUAUUUUACAUGUGAAAUUUUCAUCUUUCUUUGGAUAUGUCCAUAUGUAAAGCAUUACCCCUAUUAUUUGAUCCUUUUUAAGUGUCUACUAUGUAUGAUAAACAUGGGAAGAAAACCACGAGCCUGAGAGGUGGUGGGAAGACAAAAGGGACGUAUUAUGACAGAUUAGAGGAUACAAUACACAAAUGCAUUCCAUUUGCUUAUCUUGAUUAGCCUUUGAACGACUACUUGGAUAUUCUUCACAAACUAUUUAGAGAAGGGGUUUGUUAUCGUGGUCUUAUGCUCAUGAAAAAGACAUGCAUAGUUCUUGACCCUUAAUAACCAGCUUCGACCUGCCGGAUGUUGACAGGUGUCCUCAUUUCUACUAUUUCAGAGCCAAUUAGCUUAAAUUAAUUUACGAAAUUCAAAGAUAUUCUAAUUAAUGGUAUAGCUGGAGAGCAGGAAGAGAGUGGAUAAUACUAAAUUAGCAUCUGCUAUUGAGGGAUAACGUUCAUUCACUAUAGUUCUGUUAAUGAAAAUGUGAUUUAGGUAGCCAGGUUUUCCUUGCGCAAGGCAUAUUGCGAAGGCUUACAUUUUUCACUAUCGGUCUUGAUAUCUUCCUUAACAGAGGCUCAUAUAUUUUCUCCAGCCUUGUGUUUCUUAAAAUCGGAAAAGGUCAGAGUGGUGAGGCAGGGUGAAAGAUUAUCUACCUAAGCUCGUAGAAAGAUGAUAUCUUAUACUGGAGCUUCAAAAUUUGCCUUGAAAUUUAGAAUUGAUGCAACACUCAUGAUAAUAGAUAGUAUGAACUGUUAUUAUGUCAUACAUGUAAUUGGUUUUUGACAAUACGCUUGAAAUGAGUGUAUAAAUGUUUUUCCGUGUCGAACCUUUCAAGUCAUUUUGUAGCUGGAGGUUGCAAACAAUGAAUCGAGAAAGGACGGGCAUGGGCCAUCUAAUUUUUAACUA